rnacentral:lncRNA from 1 species
UAUUGGUGGCUAUUAAAAAAAAUAAUUAUUAGCCUACUGCUUCCUGAUUAAAGCAAGUCUCUCAAGACUUUUCAAUGAGGUCCUCUAUGGGCUUACAAAGGAGUUUAGGAUUGGCAGUAAAAAGAGAGGGAUGGGAAUAAAACUUUCCUGUGUUUUGGGAAUAGACCUGAUCUGUAUAUAUUGGUUUCAAGAGUGGGGAUUUUAAAGUAACUCAGUUUAAUCUGCGUUUCUAAAAAGAAAUACAAAACUUCUUGACAGAAAUGCCAGCUGUUUUAAUGUCUAAGCACCCAUGGAGCUCUGCCAAGUUGAAAGCAAAUUUAGGCAAAUUUUAAUCAAGAUGGCAUCUCACAGAACUGACAUAUGCAUGGCUCAUAAAUUUCAUCUUUUUCCUUAAGAAAAAAAGUGACAUUUCACUUGAUCCAUGGCGGAAAAUCUUUUAAGGUUUUAUGAAAGACUAUUAGGAUCAGAAUGAAACAUGUUAUAAAAUUCAGUAAUAUUUAAUAAUAUAUUUAAUGCUUUAUAUUUUAUUAUGUAUUUUAAUACAAAUUAAAUUUAAUAUUUUACAGCAAGCUGAUUAUUUUUCUGGUGCCUUCUAAGGAAGUUUCACACAGGCCCAUGUAAUGCUGGACCAGAAUUGGGACAUUCCGUUUACCCACUGCCCUUCCAGUUAACAAAAGGUGUUUACCGAAGUGCAGAGGUUGAAUAUGUGGAAGAAGCAUAUCUUGUUUGAUCUAUGUGAAACUUCUCAGAGGUAAAGGGGAAAGGAAUCUUACAGCUCUAUCAUUGCAAUGGGGAGUCAUCUUUAAAAGGGAUAUAUGUGUUACUGGCUGGGAGAGGAAUUGGACCUUAAAUUAUCUGAUAAAACCUAAUUGGCUUCUUAACUUUUGGGAGAAAGUUCCCCCUUUAGAUGUAAUUAUGGGAAAGUAUAUUGAGAUUUGCAUUUCAGAUCCUGGAGGGAUUCACACACUGUUUUUGUUUCUAAAUUCAUGAAAAACAUAGUAACCAAAUAUUGGACAAUGUUGUAAAUCUUGUUUGCAAUAUGACUAUUAUUCCUAGGCAGCAAAGAGUUAUGACUCUUUGAGAAAAUCUAGAUCCUGUUGAGAAAUCUAGAUCCUGUGUUGUGACAAUUAUCGUAUAACUUCUUAGGAAAUGUUUC